GUGGUUAUAGCUCAGUGGUAGAGUGCGUGCUUAGCAGGCAUGAGUUCCUGGGUUCAAUCCCCAGUACUUCCA
rnacentral:tRNA from 1 species